rnacentral:tRNA from 1 species
GCGGAUGUAGCUCAGCGGUAGAGCGCCACCUUGCCAAGGUGGAUGCCGUGGGUUCGAUCCCCAUCAUCCGCUCCA